GGAAACGGCGGCCAUUUUUUACCAUUCCAUAGCAAGGUGCACAACUUUACAUGGGGGUCCUCAUUAUAGUAGAGUUCCAUCAACAUUGGUCCAUUGGAUUCCAAGAACUCGCGCGGACAAAAUGUGUGGAAGAAAAAUAAGAAAAAAAAAAGAAACGUAGAAUAACAGUAUGUCACCCCAAUUCCGUUGAGGGUGCCAUA